UAGAAAAUUCUUUCAGGGGUAAACAUGGAUCCUGUUACCAAACUUCUUGAUGCUCACAGAGGUCACUGUAAAACCUCUUCCACACCAGAGUGAGGUUGGUGUGCAGGAAAUUUGGAACACCAAGAUGGCUUUGGUGGGAUGCAGCUGCUGGGAUUGGCUGAAGAACGGGGCCAUCGACCCCAAGGGCUGCCUGAGGUCCUGAGACAACCAGAGGAAGGUGGAUUUCAGCUGUCCUGUGAUAAGAAGACCUGAACAGUGCCUGUAACAUUUAGGUCAGGUCAAAGACCUCUAGGAAACAUCUGUGGAGUAGUCACUGUAACCACAGGCACCUGCACCCAGUCCCGUGGGCUCAGACAUGUCAGGGAUCUGGAUCCAUGUCUUGUGAGCGCUGGGAUGAAGCAGAGUCAGAGCCUGAGCAGUCAAAAAGAAUGAACCAGGAAUGGUGGCACACCUGGAAAUCAGGGACUUGCAGGUGCAUCUUCCAUGAACCCUUUGGAUUUCCUCACAUCCUGAGGCCGAUGGAGAGCUGAGACCUCCUUGUUCUUGUGCCCGAGGGCUGCAAGAGCCAGCAGGACCUGAGGGUGAUGGACACCUCUCCAAACUCCCCCGAUGUUCCCCAAGAGACUCCCUAAACUCUACAACAGCUGCUGAAAUCAGAGUAGCAUCAUUUUGAGGCAAGAUAUUUGACUUUUCUUCUACAAGAUGAGUAAAACCCACAUCAAAUGUUACAGCCUGCCUGUGCAGACCUCAGCCUGCCUUCAGACCCAUCUCAGCUGGUGCAGGGAGUCAUUUCCUCAGCAAUCACUCUGGAAUCCACAUUUAGGCUGCUUUAAUCAAAUUCUUUUUCCUUCCCCAUAGGUCUGUGACCACUUGGAAAGUCCUGUAAGGACUGAUACAAAAAAACCACAUAAAUUUUACUAGAGUAGCAUGUGCAGUUAUGUAUUUAUAUUUAUUUGCCAGCAUAGCAUCAAUAAUGAUGGAAAAAAGUUCCUUAAAUUAAAAGCUCAAAAUAGCUUAUAAAGAAAAGUUUCUCCUGUCCCCUGGUGAGGAUUAGACCUGCAACUCUGAAAUCUGAUAGAAUGUGGUUUAUUUUUAUAAAAUUAAUUUCCUGAAGAGGAAAACUACAAUGCCAUGUUUGAAAACCUGAUGAAUUCUUCUUGUAGAAUAGAACAGUUCAGUGGGAAGACAGUGACAGCCAUCAGCUAGUCCAGCUGUAACUCUCCUAAAUCAGUGUUUGCUUUUUAAAUUGUCUGUAUUUGAUAUUCAUGGUGGAGUUCUUUAGAAUUCAUAGCACUUCCCCAAGUCAUGCAUUGAUGUGAAGAGAUUUUAAAUGAGAUUUUCCUGAAUAAUCUAACCAGAUAAUUUCAUCAUGUUCCUUUAUCAUAUAGAUAUUUUCUCUAGCACUAAAAUAUUCAGGAUACAGCUUGUAUUUUAUGUCUUAGGUUCUGGCAAGGACAGUGUAAUCUCUAUAUAAACAGAUUUCUGAAAUAACAAAUAUGAACAUCAGAUUCAAAAUAUUCCUAAGUCCCUGGCCAGGGUUGGACAGUACAAAGUAAUAAGAUCUAUUACACAAAGUUAGUUUCUCAUUUAGCCACUUAAACCAGCAGUUAUUCUUCUGGUGACAUGAGCUGUUGCAAUGACUGAAAUAAUCUGAUAGUGUACUUUGAGUGCUGGUAGAAUAUGUAUCAAUAAAAGCCAUGCUGUGGGAGCAUCCCCUCCUUGUAUUCCUCAGCAGUGCUGGUGGGGGAAGUCCGGGAUGAGUUUGGGAUAUUUGCUCCUGUUGAAGUGAACAAUGCAGUGUGCCCUGCAGUUAAAAACUCCUUCUGUGUCAUCUGCUUAAGCUUUGUGUUUUACAGCACAGCUCUCCUGUCUGGCUCUUCUCCAUGUGUGGAGUCAGGUUAUUCUUACAUCCUCAGAGGGGUUUUAAAGGAAGAGAGGGCUCACCAUUAAUACUUCAUUCCUUUUCUCAAUGGGAUAAAAUGUUGUAUUUCUAUCUCAGGACUACCUGAAUUAGAAAUAAGAAAAAUCCUUCUUUCCAGGGUUAUAAAACACCAUUUUCUCUCCCUGACAGUCCCAGCAGAGUGUGAGAAACCAAGUCAGAGCUGCCUUUAUGGGCAAAGAGAGGUGAGGCACUUGGAUAUGAACAAUAUCGCACAGAUUAUUGAACAGGAGCUUUAAUAUUGGAUAUUCAUGCACAUACCAAGUAUCUUGGAGUGAAGUGAACAAACAUGCACAGAGAAAUACCAGUGCAUGUCUGUGCCAGCCAGCUGCAAACAGCAUGAAGGCCAAGUGAAUGAAAAUAUUAAAAAUAUAACAAUAUAUAAAUAAAUAUAUUAAUUAAUAUAUUAAAAUAAAAUUUAUAUUAUUAUAUAUUUCUGAUAAACACACAGUAUUCUGAAAAUGCUCUGCCUGCCCCCAGAUCCCAGCCUGUGCUGAGAACCCCUGGGCCAACACUCUUACAAAUGAUGUUUUUCAAUUCUGUGGGGAAAUAUUUGCUGUGCCAGCAUGUCAGAAACACUAAGCCUAGCUUUUCAGAUUGGAUUUUGCUGUAGGCACGAAGGGCUGAAAAGGCUCCGUGCAAUAUUGGUGUGGCUGUCUCUCACACAAAGGCUGACAUCUCCAUUGAAUGGCCCGAGCUGGUUACCAGCCCAGCAGGAGCUCCUGGGCUCUGAAAGGAGAUUAAAUCAGUGACUGCAGACGGGGACAAUAGGCAUCCGCCAGGACACGCCAGAAAGGGAAAACCUGACCUGAAGGCAGAGACUUGUGCAGGGGUUUGUCACACCACAUUUGGGCUGGGCUCUUCAGCCACCUAAUCCUGUAUCCUACUCAUUAUGUCCCACAAGGAGAAGCUUGUGAGGGGUGUGCAAGAAAUCUGUGACAGCUUGCUAACGGGGAAGUUUGGGCUAAAGCUGGGAGUCAGAGAUUUUCCUAAAUUUGAGCUAAUAUUUACCACUGUAGUUCAGAAAUUUUCCUUGCCAGAGGAGCAGUUAAUCCGUUUUAAAUCCUGCCAAUCUCCAGCUAUCAGUGAUACUUGUGCACCUGAAUGAGAGGGGGUUGUUGCAGAAGAAUGAAACAGCAUCUCUAAGCUUGGAGGUCAUCUUAAAGGUGAUGGUAGGAGCAGUAGCUGGUGUGGGUAAUAGCUGCCUUCUUCUGUGGAUUAAAAUCAUUUUUUAGAAGGGGAAAUUGAUGUGAAGGGACAACAUCCAAAGCUGUGGUCAGGGCUCAGCUCAGAGCAUGGGAUGUCUGAGAUGACAGAGGGAGAUGAGCUUCACUCUCAGAGCUGUGACCUUGGACUCCUGCAGAAGCCAUGGUGAUGUUAGAAACCCACACUCUUAUUUUGUCAUUUCAUGUGUACUAAAGGCUCAAAGACAAUACCUAGAGAUAGACUUCCCCUGCUCGUCAUGGAUCUGGUGCAUCCUUAGUCCUCCCCUGGCCUUUCACUGAAGUAUUUCAGUAAUUCCCAUGGUGACUCAGGUGGAGUCAUCUUUCUAUUUAACACCUGCUAAGUGGUUGGGGUUUUUUAAAUUGAUAUUUUAGUUGCUUGUUUAAUCUGUGUAAGCUUUUCUCAAGCUCAGCACUGUGCAGGGAGGUUCUCCAAGAUUGUAGGACCCACUGGGUGAGAAUAAUUUUGUUUUAUGUCUGCUUUGAGCCUGCCUCUGCUUUCAUGAGCUGACUCACAGUUCCUGUGCUGAGAGACCGAGCAAUUCUCCCCUAUUCAUCUUCUAGAUGAAAAUUUUACAGACCAAUUUCAUAUCUCUCCAAAACUAUCUCUCUUCCACAUCUGCAAGUGGCUAAAAUAAUUUCCAUGCCUUUUUUCACACUUGUUGCCUUUCCUAGGCCUCUUCCAGUUUAAUUGGUUUCAGAGGAAGGAUCAUGAAUUUCCCUGUUCUGAUACAGGUGUUCUGUGAAUGUGCGUAAUUAUUUUCUUUGUAUUGUUCUCUGUUCCCUUUGUAAUACAUUUUAAUGUUUUACUUGCUUUCCUCCCUGUAGCUUAACAACUGAACAGAUACAUUCCUAGAGUUAUAAAGCUCAAAGCUGUAAUUUUUCAGCAGAUGUAAUAAACUCUGAGUUCUUUAUUGUUUCUGUUUCA